AUUGAACGCUGGCGGCAGGCCUAACACAUGCAAGUCGAGCGAGCGGCGGACGGGUGAGUAAUGUCUGGGAAACUGCCUGAUGGAGGGGGAUAACUACUGGAAACGUUAGCUAAUACCGCAUACCAUCAGAUGUGCCCAUGUGGGAUCAGCUGGUAGGUGGGGUAACGGCCCACCUAGGCGACGAUCCCUAGCUGGUCUGAGAGGAUGACCAGCCACACUGGAACUGAGACACGGGCCAGAGGCCUACGGGAGGCAGCAGUGGGGAAUAUGGCACAAUGGGCGGAAGCCUGAUGCAGCCAGGCCGCGUGUGUGAAGAAGGCCUUCGGGUUGUAAAGUACUUGCAGCGGGGAGGCGUUACCCGCAGAAGAAGCACCGGCUAACUCCGUGCCAGCAGCCGCGGUAAUAC
rnacentral:rRNA from 1 species